GGAGGGGGGGGGGGGGGGAGACGAUCCAAGGAAGGGGGAGGCAGGGAGAAAGGAAAUUAAGGGGGAAAAAAGUGUCAGGAGCCCGCGAUGUGAAUCAUUUGAUUCCGAAAACGAGCUCAAGUUCUCCUCGGCCACACACACACGCUCGGCUGUUUAAUUCGCCUCCCGCCGCCGGCGCACCGAUCGCGCCGAGUCAGCAGCACUGAGUGCGCGCCGCCGCCGCUCUGCACAUGCACGAGGACGCGCGGCGAGGGCAGCAGCAGCGGGAGGUAUGUGUGUGUGUGUGUGUGUCGCGCGCCCCCGCCCACCCGCCUGCCUCGUGCACGGGCGGAGGCGCGCGGGCGACCGUUAACGGCCGAACGGACACGUGAGGGACGGAGGUGGCGCCCGCCCGCCCGACGGCUGGUUCUUGCCGGCUCCUGCUGCUGCCGCAUCCAUCGUGGGAUUACAACAUUGAUCUAUUUAUUGUUUCAAUGCCUUUGACAAAGGACAGGACUUGUCCCCCAAACCCAAGUCCGAAAGGAAGUUAUCAACUCAUCUCAGAGGCUUUUGCACGUUCGGGACAUUCGCACAGAUCAGGAGUAGGUUUGCUGCCAGAUCUAACAGUACACGGAUUGUUACUAUUGAACUAUUUAUCUCUUUGGAGUUGUCCGCUGACCAAACAUACCUUGCUCUGUAGAGGAUUCGAGACAUAAAACAGAGCUUUUAGUGUACGGGAUGAAAUGCACAAAUUUCAAAUGGUCAGUCAAUUGUCCUGCUGAAGAAGAACAGAACGUGUUGGAGAUAUUCAUCUGGUCAGAUAGCAUCUGUGGAGAGAGUAAUUGAUGAGAAGGCCUUCCCUGUCACAUCAAUUACACACUGAGUUUCAUCACUACACCAGCUGCUCUGGAGGCGUCUACGUCGCCGAUGAGGCAGUCAUCCAUUUCUUUCGGGAACAUGCAUUUACUAAGAAGCUCUGGGGAAAAAAAGGCAUUUGUAUUUGUGGAGGUUCGUGCUGAACGGCCAAAGGUUACAGACUGGUACAUUCCAACCUCUACAGAUGGAUCUACUGCAAGGAUGUCAUGAUUAAGGGCCACAGUUUAAGGUCCUCUGACCAUUGCACACUGAGAGGCUGGAGCCUUGGACUUUCACUUGUGAAUGAUAAAAUUAUGUUAUCCUUUCGAUUGUUAUUGCACAAAUAAAAUGUCUUACUAACUUCAA